ACUUUUGCUUCUUCCUCAUUUUUCUCUUGCUACUGCCACGUAAGAAGUGCUUUUCACCUCCCGCCAUGAUUCUGAGGCCUCCCCAGCCAUGUGGAACUGUCAUGGCUACUGGGGAGUUUACAGCGCCUAAGGAAUAGGGUGGAAUGCACAAAGCACAGAUGCUCAGCCUGGGGCCUGGGGCUUCCCUGGAGGAGGAGAAGAGGAAUGGUCCAAGCCUGCUCAUUGCCCACCCCCACAGGCAGGCGGGCAUUGUGGAGCUCACUGCAAGGCCUCUGGGACCGACCGACCGACCCACUUGCCCAGUCCCGUCCUGGGAGGUGGGGGUGCAGUGACGACAGAUGGGUGUGACGGCUGCUAGAUUCCUGAGACCCGCCCUGCGGUGGGGCUACACCCAGCCGGGGAGUCUCCAGAGGUGAGGCUGUUGUUUAAAAACCUGGAGCCAGGAGGGGAGACCCCCACAUUCAAGAGGAGCUUUCAAGCGAUCUGGAGAAAGAACGGCAGAACACACAGCAAGGUAAGGUCCUCUCUGGGGAUCACCCCAUUGGCUGAAGAUGACACCACUCUUCCUCUUGUCUUUUGCCUUGCCUGGCCUCCUGCAUGCCCAGCAAGACUGCUCCCGUGGGGCCUGCUAUCCACCUGUCGGGGACCUGCUUGUUGGGAGGACCCGGUUUCUCCGAGCUUCAUCUACCUGUGGACUGACCAAGCCUGAGACCUACUGCACCCAGUAUGGUGAGUGGCAGAUGAAAUGCUGCAGGUGUGACUCCAGGCAGCCUCACAACUACUACAGUCACCGAGUAGAGAAUGUGGCUUCAUCCUCUGGCCCCAUGCGCUGGUGGCAGUCACAGAAUGAUGUGAACCCUGUCUCUCUGCAGCUGGACCUGGACAGGAGAUUCCAGCUUCAGGAAGUCAUGAUGGAGUUCCAGGGGCCAAUGCCCGCCGGCAUGCUGAUUGAGCGCUCCUCAGACUUCGGUAAGACCUGGCGAGUGUACCAGUACCUGGCUGCCGACUGCACCUCCACCUUCCCUCGGGUCCGCCAGGGUCGGCCUCAGAGCUGGCAGGAUGUUCGGUGCCAGUCCCUGCCCCAGAGGCCUAAUGCACGCCCAAAUGGGGGGAAGGUCCAACUUAACCUUAUGGAUUUAGCAUCUGGGAUUCCAGCAACUCAAAGUCAAAAAGUUCAAGAGCUGGGGGAGAUCACAAACUUGAGAGUCAAUUUCACCAGGCUGGCCCCUGUGCCCCAAAGGGGCUACCACCCUCCCAGCGCCUACUAUGCUGUGUCCCAGCUCCGUCUGCAGGGGAGCUGCUUCUGUCAUGGCCAUGCUGAUCGCUGCGCACCCAAGCCUGGGGCCUCUACAGGCCCCUCCACCGCUGUGCAGGUCCACGAUGUCUGUGUCUGCCAGCACAACACUGCCGGCCCAAAUUGUGAACGCUGUGCACCCUUCUACAACAACCGGCCCUGGAGACCUGCAGAGGGCCAGGACGCCCAUGAAUGCCAAAGGUGCGACUGCAAUGGGCACUCAGAGACAUGUCACUUUGACCCCGCUGUGUUUGCCGCCAGCCAGGGGGCAUAUGGAGGUGUGUGUGACAAUUGCCGGGACCACACCGAAGGCAAGAACUGUGAGCGGUGUCAGCUGCACUAUUUCCGGAACCGGCGCCCGGGAGUUUCCAUUCAGGAGACCUGCAUCCCCUGCGAGUGUGAUCCGGAUGGGGCAGUGCCAGGGGCUCCCUGUGACCCAGUGACCGGGCAGUGUGUGUGCAAGGAGCAUGUGCAGGGAGAGCGCUGUGACCUCUGCAAGCCUGGCUUCACGGGACUCACCUACGUCAACCCGCAGGGCUGCCACCGCUGUGACUGCAACAUCUUGGGGUCCCGGAGGGACAUGCCGUGUGACGAGGAGAGUGGGCGCUGCCUUUGUCUGCCCAACGUGGUGGGUCCCAAAUGUGACCAGUGUGCUCCCUACCACUGGAAGCUGGCCAGUGGCCAGGGCUGUGAACCAUGUGCCUGCGACCCGCACAACUCCCUCAGCCCACAGUGCAACCAGUUCACAGGGCAGUGCCCCUGUCGGGAAGGCUUUGGUGGCCUGACGUGCAGCGCUGCAGCCAUCCGCCAGUGUCCAGACCGGACCUAUGGAGACGCGGCCACAGGAUGCCGAGCCUGUGACUGUGAUUUCCGGGGAACAGAGGGCCCGGGCUGCGACAAGGCAUCGGGCCGCUGCCUCUGCCGCCCUGGCCUGACCGGGCCCCGCUGUGACCAGUGCCAGCGAGGCUACUGCAACCGCUACCCGGUGUGUGUGGCCUGCCACCCUUGCUUCCAGACCUAUGAUGCGGACCUGCGGGAGCAGGCCCUGCGCCUUGGUAGCCUCCGCAAUGCCACAACCAGCCUGCGGUCAGGGCCAAGGCUGGAGGACCGUGGCCUGGCCUCCCGGAUCCUAGAUGCGAAGAGUAAGAUUGAGCAGAUUCGAGCAGUUCUCAGCAGCGCCGCAGUCACAGAGCAGGAGGUGGCUCAGGUGGCCAGUGCCAUCCUCUCCCUCAGGCGAACUCUCCAGGGCCUGCAGCCGGAUCUGCCCCUAGAGGAGGAGACGUUGUCCCUUCCGAGAGACCUGGAGAGUCUGGACAGAACCUUCAAUGGUCUCCUCACUAUGUAUCAGAGGAAGAGGGAGCAGUUUGAAAAAAUAAGCAGUGCUGAUCCUUCAGGAGCCUUCCGGAUGCUGACCACAGCCUACGAGCAGUCAGCCCAGGCUGCUCAGCAGGUCUCCGACAGCUCGCGCCUCUUGGACCAGCUGAGGGACAGUCGGAGAGAGGCAGAGAGGCUGGUGCGGCAGGCGGGAGGAGGAGGAGGCACCGGCAGCCCCAAGCUUGUGGCCCUGAGGCUGGAGAUGUCUUCGUUGCCUGACCUGACACCCACCUUCAACAAGCUCUGUGGCAACUCCAGGCAGAUGGCUUGCACCCCAGUAUCAUGCCCUGGUGAGCUGUGUCCCCAAGACAAUGGCACAGCCUGUGGCUCCCACUGCAAGGGUGUCCUUCCCAGGGCCGGUGGGGCCUUCUUGAUGGCGGGGCAGGUGGCUGAGCAGCUGCGGGGCUUCAAUGUCCAGCUCCAGCAGACCAGGCAGAUGAUUAGGGCAGCCGAGGAAUCUGCCUCACAGAUUCAAUCCAAUGCCCAGCGCUUGGAGACCCAGGUGAGCGCCAGCCGCUCCCAGAUGGAGGAAGAUGUCAGACGCAUGCGGCUCCUAAUCCAGCAGGUCCGGGAUUUCCUAACAGACCCCGACACUGAUGCAGCCACUAUCCAGGAGGUCAGUGAGUCCGUGCUGGCCCUGUGGCUGCCCACAGACUCAGCUACUGUUCUGCAGAAGAUGAAUGAGAUCCAGGCCAUUGCAGCCAGGCUCCCCAACGUGGACCUGGUGCUGUCCCAGACCAAGCAGGACAUUGCCCGCGCCCGCCGGUUGCAGGCUGAGGCUGAGGAAGCCAGGAGCCGAGCCCAUGCAGUGGAGGGCCAGGUGGAGGAUGUGGUUGGGAACCUGCGGCAGGGGACAGUGGCACUGCAGGAAGCUCAGGACACCUUGCAAGGCACCAGCCGCUCCCUUCGGCUUAUCCAGGACAGGGUUGCUGAGGUUCAGCAGGUACUACGGCCAGCAGAAAAGCUGGUGACAAGCAUGACCAAGCAGCUGGGUGACUUCUGGACACGGAUGGAGGAGCUCCGCCGCCAAGCCCGGCAGCAGGGUGCAGAGGCAGUCCAGGCCCAGCAGCUUGCAGAAGGUGCCAGCGAGCAGGCAUUGAGUGCCCAAGAGGGAUUUGAGAGAAUAAAACAAAAGUAUGCUGAGUUGAAGGACCGGUUGGGUCAGAGUCCCAUGCUGGGUGAGCAGGGCGCCCGGAUCCAGAGUGUGAAGACAGAGGCAGAGGAGCUGUUUGGGGAGACCAUGGAGAUGAUGGACAGGAUGAAAGACAUGGAGUCGGAGCUGCUGCGGGGCAGCCAGGCCAUCGUGCUGCGCUCGGCAGACCUGACAGGACUGGAGAAGCGUGUGGAGCAGAUCCGUGACCACAUUAACGGGCGCGUGCUCUACUAUGCCACCUGCAAGUGAUGCUCCAGCUUCCAGCCCCUUGCCCCACUCAUCUGCCACCUUUGCUUUUUGUUGGGGGCAGAUUGGGUUGGAAUGCUUUCCGUCUCCAGGAGACUUUCAUGCAGCCUAAAGCACAGCCUGGACCACUCCUGGUGUGCAGCUGUUGUUCUUAAAUCACUUCACCUGGAACAGUUCUUGAUCCCUGAGUAAAACAAAGCUCUUAAGGACAGGACAGAGUUGCCCAUUCCUGGCCCCUCUUGAAUAACUAGUACUGAAUAUUGCACCCUGUCCCAGUGCUGAAUGACAGCGCUCAGCUGCACCUGCCUCCUGCACUUGACCAGACAACCCAGCUGCUACCCUUGCAUCAGAACCUGCUCCACUGUAUGCUGCUUGAAUCUCCACCUGGGCCUGAUGAACAAUGGCAUGGUCCUUGCUUGUCACAACAUUAAAUGGAUCAGGGCAAGCAGAUUCCGGAGGAAUGCAAUAUGAAUGAGUCAGCAUGGUUUUGGGAACUACAGGGCUGGGGUCUAGAGUCCACUCCAUGUCUCACUCACCAGGGGUGACUCAAGGCCUUCUCACAGGUGUACCGCUCAUUCGGAUCCUUCUCAAGCAAGUGGCAAAUAAAGUCCUUGGCUAAGGGGAGCAAUCAAAGACACGACGACUAAGGACCAGAUUUCAUGACUGAUGGAAAUUCACUUCCGGGCUGGUGGGUGGCAGUGAAUGCAUCUUUAGCUGAUCUUCCAAAGAGGCAAUUUUAAGAGUCUUAGAAGAGGAAAAAAAAAUCCAAACCACCUAACAACAACCCACCAUAAAUCACCAAAGAAGGGAAGCUCCAAGCCGCCUCACCCACACAGCACUGCAGAAGCAUCACUAGUCACGAGGCCCCCAUGUGCCUGCACAUCACAUGUGCAUGUGUUUGCAUUGAAAUGGGCCAGCACUGGCACAUGGGCAUGCAUGUGAGUGCUGGAUUGUUCCAGCUCCGAUUUCCACUUAACAGGUCCAACAAUCACGUAAUGAUCAUCUUCUCUCACACAUAGAUAUUGCAUGCUCUUUCUUGGUAUCUAACGCCUUAGUUUUGCUGUUCUUGCCUGGAACUCUCCCCUUGCCACCUGGCUCUGCCCUCCUGGCCCAUCUUCUAAACUGCCCACCCCAUCUCCUUAUCAGGCAUACUGUGGUUCUGCCUCCAGAAAAACAAAAGCAUAGCUGUUAGAUGUAAAUAAUUUAUUGGGUCUUUGAAGCAGAUGAAGAUUUCUCCACUUUCCUUGGCAGCCUGUUCUGUAAGAUCCCCAGGGACUUUGAAGAGCCAGGACUGUCAUCCUUUGUUAAGCUCAUUUCUCUUGGCAGCCUCUACCUUGAGCCUGUUAUCUCUCCUUCACCCCUACUGGCCUUACCUGACUCAGAAAUGUCAUCCCAGAAUGGAGACUCGAACUCAUAGUAGCCCUCUUUGAUCUUCUCAAAAAGCUUAGACUCUGUUUCUUCAUAGAAUGGGGGGUAUCCACAGAGCCUGCAGCAGGACAGGAAGGAGGCAUACUACUGAACAAACCUGUCCUCCCUGAGCCAGCCUCUCUGUUCUCCUAGGCUCCCACUGUAUACACAGGUGGGCACUGAAGGUCCCAGAACAGUGGCGUGACCAGGACAUGGAGCUGCCUCAAAUUCAAGAAUGGACUCCCGCCUUGACACCUUUAAGUCUCUGUGGACGAUGCCAUUCUCAUGGAGGUAUUUCACUGCUGACAAGACCUGCUGGAUCACCAAACUGGCAUCCUUCUCUGUGUAGACACCCCGCUCCAGGAUCCGGUCAAAGAGCUCCCCACCGGAAACACUGUGGGCAUAGGAUCAAGACAGGAAUUCAGUUCUCAUUUCACUCAAACUGCACUUGGAACUGAGUUAAUCAAAGCCGCCUCAGCUUGCUCUAUUCAUCCAUUCACUUACUCAUCCCUUCAACCAAGAUUUAUUGAACACCUACUGAGUCUUAGACACUGGAAAUUAAAAGGUUUAGGUGCUGCUGUGGUAGACUUCAUUGAGCUCUAAGAGGGAAGGUGUGUCUGUCUUCUGAGUCCUACAGCACAAGUCUAGCAGAUGUUAGAGCAGAAGAUGAGGUUGUUCACUGCUGGAGAAAUGAAGAUGCUGGGGGAGGAGGCUGGGAAAGUUCUAGGGUCACUGGACCUCCAGAAGUGCUCUCCAAAUCCCCUCUCCUGUGACAGAGGCAAGAACCCACAAAGUGGCACAGACCUGGAAGGAGGAAAGGGUCACUGCAGAACAACAGGGCUGUGGAUGCUGCUUUUCCAGCCAAUGAAGAGCCACCUUCCAGCUCUGGGACCAAGAGCCAGGCGUCCAUCACUCCCCCUUCCGGAGCUCCCAUGGAAUGACGGCCUGUUCUCCAGGAGGCUGCACCACCUCAUUAGCAGAUCUGUACUCACUGUUCCUUCUUUCCCUUCUCUUUUAAAUAGCUUUAAAAACAUAGUAUUCUUAGCCGAAGCUAGGCUGUGAGAAAACAUCUUUCCCGCCCACCCCUCCUCCCAUACACUGAAUCCUAACCAUUUAGUUCCGUCUUCAAUACAAUGUGGAAAACUCAAACGCCCAGAUCUGAAACUCCCAUAGCUUUGGCUUUUCCUUCUACCCCUCUGUAGCAAGAGUGAUCGCCUCAAGACUCCCAUGCUCUGUGUGGUGGAGGUCUGAACAGCGGGCUUGGAAAGGGGUGCCCACGUUCCUUCCAUGGCUGCAUCCUGCUUCUUUCUGCUAAAGUCCUCCCCCUCCUCUCUUGACUUCUGUAAUCUAGGCCUUUUCAGAGGAAAAGAAAACAAAUUCUAAGGAGCUUGAAGCUCCAAUAUUGCUCUCAUUUGUUUCCAAAGUACUCCCCGCCUCUCACUCUAUUUCUGGCAACAAUUUCCAUUGGGUUUCAAAGCUCAGGAGCAGCCGCCACAGAUUUCUCUGGGAUUUAGGGCUGAUUUUUCACAUCGAUAGCUCAGGAGACUCGGAGGAUGUUGGCUUCGUGGCUGGUUCAGGUGCCUUGUGCUUCAGCACAGCAAGAUUCUCAAGAAUAUUCUGCAAAAAUGGCUCCUAGCAAAGAAAAUGACCUUAUUCAUGGAACUAUCUUUGAGUUGUGGAGGGACACUAGUGCCUGGGAUGGGAUGUGUCCAGUUCUUGGUCAGAAGAACUUCCCUGGGACACUAGACAAGGCUCUUCCUGACCAUUCUACCUAGAGUCCGUCUACCCACAGCCAGAGUCACUCUCUCUUAGGGAUAGAUGAAAUUUCGAGCAGCCCUCUGCUAUCAGUCACAGCUUCACCCUCCUUGUGGUGUCAUAGGUGAAUGGCUGGGCCUGUGUCAGAACUCAUUUCCAGUUCACGGGUUGCAACCCAAGUGGCUCAUCAGCUUGCCAAAGCCCAGGCUCUGGAACCUAAAGGCUUCAGGAAGCUUCUGGCCGGAGAGAAACUUCAAGGACCACCCACUCCAUUUCCCAGCCCUUCUGCCACUGCCAUUCUGCAUUUCAAAGAUCAACUCUGCAUGCCAAUUUCUGUUCACAAAAUGACCCAGGGAGAAGGUUUUUCAGUUGUUGCCUGCAGUUUAUUUAAGGUGCAAACCUACAUUUAAGUUUAACAAAAUCACUCCUGCUGCAGUGACAAGCCAUAAUUUAUGUGUUGCUUAUGGUUUAUUGUGUACUUCUUACAGAGGAUGUGAAGAUCAUUCUCUAGGGCUUCAUGCAGUAGCUGAGAGGUCAACACACGGGGGCCAUUGUAGAGAGCAGGGUAUGCUGCUUAUUCUUCGUGUGCUGCUAAGUAUAUUGGGCCUUGGUUUCCUCAUCUGCUGAAUGUGAGUAAUGAUCCCUGCUCUAUUUCUCAGCAUUCCUUUGGAGGGCUAAUGCUUCAAUGGGCACGAAAGCAGUUUGCAACCUCUAAAAUGCCAUGCAGUGGGUCCACAUUAUAGGCACAUGAAUUAAACACUAAGCACUGGAGAAAGAGAAAGGGAAACCAAUAAGGACUUAAACGGGGUGAGCACAGGGCAGGAGACAGGAAUCUGCUAUUCCUUCAGCUGGUUCCAGCUCCCACGUGCCUUUCACAGUGUGAGCAUCUCAUCACACUGUGUUUCUAAAGUGUUUAAAGGUAUAUGAUUUUUCAUACAUCAUAGCCCUGAAUGCAAGCCAACUACUUCAUCUGGUACUCAACUAAGAAAACAGGGAACUGUUGCAACAAGAGUAGAAAUAAUACUUUUGUUGGUUUUUUCAUGGGUGAUAUGCAGGUCUCCAUUGGGGCACUUUUCUAAGGAGUUUUCAAGGUUAACUCUGACUGUGUGUCACACACCGCCUUCAAGCCUAAUCCCAUGCAAGAGGUGCCUCUUUUGUACAGGUUGGACGCUCAUUACUAUUAACCGUCCCAGCCAGGCACUCUACUGUGGCUUCCAGAAGGGGAGAGGAAGGAUCUUUCCCCUACCAGGGAUGGAGUACAAAAGGAAGGACAGGCUGAACUCAGGACGAAGGGCUGUGUCAGGAAGCUCUGAGUUACCAGCCUUUCCUCCAGGAACAUGGGUUUGACAGCUCAUGGAUAGUCCGUGCAGUCCCCUGCCUGCUUCAGCUUGCUUUCUUGCUGGCAGCCGCUCCCACUCAGCCCCAACCCCCUCGCCAUUGACCGUGGCGGCGCGCCUGCAGUUGUAGCGCCAGGCACGCAGCCUGUUUGCAGACUCAGCCGCUCCCCUCAUUCAUGCUGCAGCUCAUUCACUGGCUGGCGCUGGCAGGCUGCGGCUGGGCGCCGCCACUCGCGCGCACUCGUGUGGCAAUUUAUUUCUGGCCCUGUGUGCGUGUGUAUGGGGGAGAGGGAGCGAGGGAGGCGCUCUCCUCUUAGAGGGGGGUGCUUUUUCACUUCCAGGUAGAAUCGCUCCCAGGCUUUAUAGUAUUCGCUGCCCUGGACCACGCACCUGGGUGGGGCACCGCGCUAGGCACUUUGCAUGCAUUAUCUUGUUUAAGGCCCCACGGCCACCUUUCAAGGUAACUGCAUUUUACAGCUGAGGUACUGAUAAGUAGAAAUGUUCAGAAAAAUCCCCCACAUCAAACAGAUAGUGAAUCAUACAACUGAACUGGAUUCCAACGCUAGUCUUCUCGUCACUGUACCACAUAACCUGUUGCCUCUUUCCUGGUGGCAGUUGCUGGGAUGUCACUCAUCUCCGCCUUCAUCCUUAUGAUGCUGUAAUGCAAUCCUAACGUCUGACUGAUUCCCCUGGGAACACAUGGCUCGGACAAUCUUGAAAAGGCUGAAUCCCUAAAGCACUCAGAUUUCUCAGCAUGGAGGCUGGGGGCAGCAUGUCUAUUGCCCCAAGCCGCUCAUGGCUCCAGUUCAAACCAUUUCUCACUCUAACCUCAAGCUUCUUUCCCAAAAAGUACUUUCUGAAGAGUACUCUUAAUAAGCAUCCACACACACACACACACACCAGAGCAAUCUGCAGCAUCAUGGAAAGGUCACUGAAUUUAUCAAUAGAUCUGGGUUCAAAUGCCACCACCAUCACCAGCUUUGCAACCCCAGGCAAACCCUUUAACUUCUAAGCCUCAACGGUCUCAUCUAUACUAAGGGGGAAAUAAUACAUGCCACACCAUCUGAUGGGAUCGUCCUAAAGAUGAUUAAUUAUAAACACAUUAUAAACUGUAAAGUGUGGUCCCCAUACCAGGUAUUACUAAGCACUCUGUGUUAUGGCCUGUUUCAGAGGUGGGUCUCAUCUUUGGUUCUGGUUAAGCUUGGGUCAGCAGGAAUGACAGGGACCUUGUUCUGUCUUCAGCUUAUGAUCUGGAAAAGAUCAUCUUCUUACCUAAGGCGGAAUCUGCUUGACUCUCUUGACCCUUCUCAGAGAUUUUCCUCAUGAUCAAUUUGUCUGACUCCAGAGCAAAAGGCUGGCCAGCCAAGCACUGCAGCCAGACCAGCGUGAGCCCUGGCAGCCACCUCCAGGAGCCUCAGGGUUAACGUUUGUGCGUCAAAGUUACGUGGAGAGAAGGGGCCACGGUGUGGAUGGGGGUGGUGGUGGUGGUGAAUCCAGACCUCCUUUUAAGAUCUUCACUUGAGAGGUAAACUAGGGAAGUUUAAAAACAGAAGGGAGGUAGACGCGCCCCUGGGGAAGGUGAAGGAGCUGUCUUGUGACUGACAGCGAUAGCUCGGCUGCGUUCUGCAUCUUAACGCGGCCGAGGAUAGGGAGCCUGAAGCCUGUCCACUGACCCCUCCAGGAGGGACUGAGGCUGAUUCGUCUUCCUUAGGCUUGCAGAGCCACAGGCUGUUUACAAAUCUUUUUGCCAUUGGUUCUGCUAAUCCUCCCAAUAACCCAAAGAGGUCGGCAGAGAGGGCAUACUUUAUUUGAUGGAUGGGGUCAGAGAGGUUAAGAGAUGAAGGUUGAGCAGGAGGGAGGGGUGCAAGAGAGCUGGAGGUCCUGACACCCCAGCAGAUGGACGGGGUCCCUCCAGGCACAGAGCCUUGUCCCUAGGAUGCAGGCAUUGCAGGAGGGGCACAUAAAGAUAUUUUUCUCCCUUUUAGCUGCCCAGAAGGGCAAAAGGCUUCCAUGCAAGCCAGCCCAGGAGUGACGGACAGGUGGCUCCACCCGGACCCCCCAUUCAGACUUAUUUUCCAAGACAGCUAUAACUUACCCUUGAUGCCAAAAGAGUCAGAGAAGAUUGGAACUGGGGCUAAAAUAAAUGCCCAAGUUGCUUACAAAGUGGCUCUUCAAAUCCACUCGCUAGGUGCUGCACGCUUCCCACUAAGCAAAGAGACCCUCUAAAGCCAAGAAAAGAAGCAGGGUUUUCUUACCCAGGGACUCGGGAAGAAUCCUGCUUGAGCUCCCACUCCACCUCCUACAGGUCUGUGAGGAUUAGCUGCUCCAGUGCUUUAACAAUAAACCCAAUUAAAGGGGAGGAAUGCAGGAGUUUUCUUUCCCAGGACCGUAACCAUGCAGCCUUAAAGGGGAGUACAAGUAGCUAGGGUGGCUUGCAUCUCUCGUUCCUUUCCUCGACUCUGCUCUCCCUCCCUCCCAGCAAACAGUAAUGAGUCUUAUCCAGAAAAAUGCUUGUGCAUUUUUGCCUGGUGUGUGUGUGUGUGUGUGUGUGUGUGUGAAAUUGUGUUUGCAUUGAUGUGUGUGAUGGAAAGACAGAAAGGAAGAAUGAAAAAGAAAAACAUCAAAUUAUAGGUUCCCAUUAUCCUGAAUGGGUGAUGACAGAAAAAAAUCAGAGAAGCUUUCUAGGAUUGCCUGCCUCAGUUUCCUUUUUAACCACUCAGGUGCUGGUGUAUGUUGUCUAAAAACACCUCCCUGAAAAACAGAACAUCCACACUGGCUGACAUGUAGGGACCGAAGACAGUGUCCACCUUGCUUUUUAUCUCUUACAGAACUGGGAGAAAGGGCCUUGGAUGUCCCACAAGGGGCCCCUCAGUUGGACGGUCUCACUCAGUAUCUUUGAUAUGUCUCCUUUCCUCCAGAAGCUCAGCAUUCUGAUCCCCAAACCUGUCUCAGUCCUAACCCAUGAGACCCCAGGAAAUCAUUCCCCUCCUUCGGAAACUCUCUGCUCCCUCUGUUUCCUGUACUCAUCUCUCCAGCCUGGCUCUUGACCAAGGCUUCACAAUCUCCAUCUCAGCUUCUCUGGGGCAGUCCCUUUAGUGCAGAUUUCUUUAACCUCUGUCAUCUGCUGUCUUGUUUUCUCCUUCUCUACUCUCUCCUUGAGGUUACCAUCUACUCACGGGGUCUAGUAUUACCACCUUCAUGAAACUCUCCCCAGUCAACACCCCACCUGGCUUAUCAUGCUCAACCUCAACAUCCAAAUGUCCACUGUCACCUACAAACAAGGCUGAAUGUGUUAUGGCCACCUCAAACCCACUCUCCUGUUUUCCCCAGCUAGGCUAAUGGGCUACCAUCUUCCAAACACUCAAGUGAGAAACUCCAGGGUUUGCUUUGUUUGUGUUGCCUGUUUCAUUUGUCUUCCAAACCCAUCCAGCUCUUAUGCACUUUCAUUUGUUCCUUGAAAUUAGCUUUUAAAUUGUACCAUUUCUUUUGCGUCAUCUUGUUUUUUGAAUAAAUAACACAUUCAUAUGGGCAAGAAAAAGACCAUACUAAAAGGCAUACAUUGAGAUGUGUCAUCCUCUUCUACUCCUUAUCUGUCCCUUGACCCUGACAUUGCCCUCUAUAGGUGACCACUUUUACUAUGGUAUUUCUUUAUGUGAAUGCAAGCAUAUAUUCACCUCUACAAUCUCAGUUCAGGCCCUCAGCCUCCCACCCAGGUAGAACCGUGAUAGGAUAGGGUGACGUGGUGCAGUAGGAUAGUUAAAAGUGGCUCUGGGGAAGACUUCUAGGUUGGAUUACUGGGUCUUCCAUUGACAGAUAUGUGGCCUUGGGAAAGUGGCUUAACCUCUCUAUGCCUCAGUUUUUCCAUCUGUAAAAUGGCAUAAUUAUUAAACUUAUUUCACACACUAGUAGGGUGGAGCAAGACAGAAUGCAUCUGCUUAGAACAGUGGCUCAUACAUGGUAAGCACUUAAUAAAUUUUAGCUAUGAUCAUUCUUUAUCUGCCAUAGUCUGAAUAUUUAUGUCCCCAUCCAAAUUCAUAUGCUGAAACCUAAUCACCAGUGUGGUGGUACUAAAACAUGGGGUUUGGGGGAGGUGAUCAGGUCAUGAGGGUGGAGCCCUUGUGAAUGGAAUCAGUGCCCUUAUAAAAGAGACCCCAGAGAGCUGCAUUGCCCCUUCCACUAUAUGCGGACAAAGAGAGAAGCUGCCUUCUAUGAAUUAGGAAGUGAGCCCUCAUCAGGCAUUGGAUUUGCUGGGACUUCCAGCCUCCAGAAUGGUGAGAAAUAUAUUUCUGCUGUUUACAAGCUGCCAGUUUAUGGUAUUUUGUUACAGCACCCUGAAUAGACUAAGACAGUCUACAAUGUAACUUUCAUUCUAGAAUUACCUCAAUAAAACAUAUUGCUUCCUCAUCAAAAACAUUCAUUGUCUACAGAAUAAAAUCCAAACACUUCAGCCCAUCAUUGAAAGCAUUCUAGGAUCUAGCACAAAGCUAUCCUUCCUCCACUGCAUCUGUGUUUCUACCCAUGUGACACUCCAGCCACACCAUAUGAAACACUUAUUUCUAACAUAACACUCACACCAAAACUCCUGACCUUCAUUUAUCCUGAUCUGUUGGUUAAGAAAAUGCCCUUUCCUCAUUCUCCACCUAUAGAAAUGCUAUAGAUUCAAAAAUUCCACAUCCAGGAAGCCUUCUAAGAUUUCCUUCCCCGCUGAGAACUGAUCACUCCUCCCUUUGGACUGUUCUCAAAACUCUUUGUCUACAACUCUUCUUAGUUCUUAAUCUAUUUUUGCCUUGAAUUCUAGUUUGUUUCCAGUCUCCUUUUUUAAAUUGAUAGUUACUUAAGGGCUGUGAUUCUGCCUGUAUUUCUUGCCCCUCUUUUUUCUUUCCUCCAUCCUCCUCCUGUGCCUGGCUCUGCAAAUAUUUAUUGGACCUUACAGAUUUAUCAGCCCUCAGGAGUAGAAAGACCUUUGAUAGUCAUCAUAAUUAAGUAAGAUAUGAUUUGCUAAUUAUUGGUACAUAAGUAAGUACUUAAUAAAUGGUAACUAUUAUUAGUAUUGAAAGUAGGAAUAAUAGCGUAUUAUUGUUAUUGAUACAACAUUCCAUUUAUUGCCUAGACUAUCUGGGUAAAGCAUCCCCGACUAAGCUGCUGUCCUCCUCCUGUUUGCACACGCUGGAGCUGGGGAGUUUAUCACAGCCUAAGAUAGCCAAAUAUGCCCAUGGGCAUUGACACACAUUACAAAGUUUAUCUCUAGAGGAAGCUGAAUUCUGCUUCUCUGAAGACUUUCCCAGCACACACAUACAUAUACUCAUUCCUUAAAUAUUUAUCAAGUGCUGACUAUAUACUAAGUAUUGGGGAUCUGAAACCAGACCUAGUUCCUAUGUUCAUACAAUUUUUACUGUCCAAGUGUAUGAAUCAGUCAACUCUGCACAUUGUAAGUCACUCUGAUGAAAGGAUGAAUCGGCAAGGAAUUGCCUGUUGUCAUCAGACCACCAGAAUCCUCUUUCUUUCCCAUUCCCUCCAAUUCACCUGCACCCUGCUGGGCUGGACAAACCACAGAGCCAGGAAUGAAUUCUCUGCUAUGGAAACAGAAAUAGGUCCAGCAGAUGUCUGGUGCCAGAGGAGAAAGCAUUGCCUCUUAAUGAUGAGGUCAGAAGCCAGAUCUCCUUGCAAGCACUGACUGGGCCAUAUGCCAAUCAUUGGAGGCCUAGUGAGGAGGUAGAGCACCCAUUGCUCAAAUAUUAGAACAGAUGACUAGAGAAAUGAGGGGGCAUUUAGUAAUGUCUCUCAAGGAUGUGGAAGAGAGGUUUUGUCAUUACAGCACAGGUACAAGCGUGCACAUACACAAAGACAUGCACGUGCACACGCGUGGUUGCAGUUUUGCCCAGUUCAUAUUCUUUUAAUGGCCUUGUCUCUAUGUUUUUCUCAACUGACAAUUUGACCAAAUAUUUAUUAAACACCAACUAUGUUCCCAGGACAGGAGACAAGACAAGCUACAGAAUAACAAUUGGAGAUCAUUCAAUAGCUAAAUAAGGUACUAUUAAUUUACAUUGUUCCCAGAGACAGGGGUCAUGGAAAGAUUGCUGCAGGGUGGAGAUAUUAGGAAAGGUUUUAUAGAAAAAGUAGAAUCUGCAUAUUAAGGAUGAGUGGGACCAGAUUCGGGAGGCGUCAGUGGUGGGUGUGGUCGAAUUAAGAAAACACAGAGGUUUGAAUACCUAUACAAAAUCCACACUGGAAAUGAUGAGACAGCUUUGCAAUGUCACAGGUGACAUUGGCAAAGGGGAAAGUGGCCAUAUAGAACCUGAUAGAUGGCCAGGCACGGUGGCUCACGCUUGUAAUCCCAGCACUUUGGGAGGCCGAGGCGGGCGGAUCACGAGGUCAGGAGAUCGAGACCACGGUGAAACCCCGUCUCUACUAAAAAUACAAAAAAAUUAGCCGGGCGUGGUGGCGGGCACCUUUAGUCCCAGCUACUCAGAGAGGCUGAGGCAGGAGAAUGGUGUGAACCCGGGAGGUGGAGCUUGCAGUGAGCCGAGAUUGUGCCACUGCACUCCAGCCUGGGCGACAGAGCGACACUCGGUCUCAAAAAAAAAAAAAAAAGGAACCUGAUAGUUACCUCCACCACUCCCAUUGGACCACGCUUACCCCUCCAAGUAAAUAAAAUAAGGGGUCCUCUUAAGGUUUGGUAUAAGGAGUAGAAAAGGGAGAUGUGCUCAUGAGGACAGAGCAAUCCUUCCUCUGUUUAAGAGCAGAUUCUUGUGUCACCUGCUUUCUGCAUUGUCUUUUACAUUUAAUUAGAUCUCCAGAUUGAGCUUUCUGGACAGCCAAAUGACAAGACAUGGUGAUGUGCCAGGGUGGAACAGGGAAGGGAGAAUGAAUCAGGAGAAAGAAUUGGCUACAUGAGAAGUCAGGAAAACAAACCAAAAAAUGGCAUGCGUAAAGGCCCUGGGGUGGAAAGAAGCCAUACCUGCUGGGGAAAUACAGAGUAGUGCAUUGUGACUGGGCAGGUAAAGUAGUGGGGAGAGUAGCCCAAAUGCAGCUGGUGAGGCAGGAAAAGGAGUAGAUCAUGCAAAGCCUUGAAGGCAUGAUAGGACAGAUAAUGAGGAGGAAGAGGGGCCACCAAAGAGCAAAUAUCACUUAUUUCAAAACAUAUCUCCAGUUGGAGGUUGGAUAACAGGGAAUAAAAUGUGCUCCUGAUCAGGGAAUGAGGGCUGGAGGGAGGGUAGGGAAAUUAUAGGACCUUAGAGAUGGGUUGGUUCACAGGCGUGAAUCAAUGCAAGACUCACUUCUUUAGUAUUUAUUUAUGUUAAAAAUAAGACACCAGACUGCUAGUAUUUCCAGGAAUAGAUAUUUUACACUGCUGUGUCUUGGACAACGUUGCUCCUGCGGCCUGCGAAAUGCUCAUCUUUUAUUUGAGCUGGAUCUUUAAAAAGUCUCCUCUCCUGAGCAUCCUUCCCUGGGUCCACAGGCAAAUGUUGACUCUCUCUCUUUUCUCCCAAAGCUCUUGCAUCUCUGCAAUGGCACCUGCUCUACUCUGCUUGGGUUAAAAUUGCUAUGAUACAUGUCAGGUUGCCCCUUAGAUGAUAAGCCCUCUGAGGGUAGAAACCAGGCUUCAAUGACCUCUACACUUCCACAAAGUCCUGAAAAUUGAAGGGCUAAAUAAAUCCUAAAAAUGAGAGUUUUCUGGUAUGUUCUGAGUUUGACACCAUUUGCUAUUUGACAACACGGAAGGGAGGAGGAGGACAAUGGAUGAUAAGUACAUGGGCUUUGUAUUAGUCUGUUCUCACGCUGCUAAUAAAGACGCACCAGAGACUCAGUAAUUUAUAAAGGAAAGAGGUUUAAUGGACUGACAGUUCCAUGUGGCUGGGGAGGCCUUGCAAUCAUGGCAGAAGGCAAGGGGGAGUAAGUCAUGUCUUACAUGGAUGGCAGCAGGCAAACAGAAAGAACUUGUGCAGAGGAACGCCUCUUUAUAAAAACAUCAGCUCUCGUGAGACUUAUUCACUACCACGAGAACAGCAUGGGAAAGACCCAUGAUUCAGUUACCUUCCACUGGGUCCCUCCCACGACAUGUGAGAAUUACGGGAGCUACAAUUCAAAAUGAGAUUUGGGUGGGGGACACAGCCCAACCAUAUCAGGCUUACCAUGGGCUGCCCCCAUCGACACAGAGAAUCCUAAAGAAUGUACAAAAUGGCCCAUUGUUUGGUUUGUGUUGCAUCUUCCAGUUUCUUUAGAUGCUCCAGAGAGUUGGGUGUCAGGGGUGGGCCAUUCAUCCAGGAUGUCUGGCUGGGUCCUCAUGGCCACUCUGCCUAGGAGGAAGGUAUCAGCUCUUCCCACCUGGACUUUCUUCUUUUCUCCUGUUUCCCUGGGCCUCUCCAUCCUAUGUAUUCUUCCCCAGAUUCUUUAAUCCUCCUCCUUAGCCUCUGCCAGUAUUCAUCAAGCAUUUGGUUAUGUCUAGCUGUACCUUGGGUGACGUGGGGGUAGCAGGGGAUCUUGCAGGUGGAAUGUCAACAAAGCAUGUAGAUUUUCAUCUGACCAUCCGACCCUCUCUUCAUGUGUGUGAUUUGUGUCUAUGUGCUAAAAGAAUCUAUCAACCUCUACUGCUUUAAAUCAUAUUCCCAAAUGACCCCAGCCUGGGUCUAUGGCAUGUUCCAGGAAGAGUUGGUGGAGGGCAGGAUAAAUCUCAUCACCCUCGGCCUCUGGUUUCUGGCUAUGACCUAGUCACUUCCUAUGGGAACCUGCUUCUGGUCCUCAGCAGAGACUGGAGGACCUUUCACCUCUGCAUCCUUCAUUAUCCACAGGUAUUUCUGUAUCCAGAGCUGGAGGCAUUUGCAAUGACUCUCCAAGGUCACCAGGAUGUGGCCUGGAAAGGCCAGCAGGAGGGGAGUCAAAGGAAGUGGGUAGUCAUAAGUAUCCCUUGCCUCAUUCAAACUUUUAUCAAAGCUACUUACAAAGUAUCUGAUUGAGCGAUUCCAUUUUAACCUUGUUUUUCUGUUUCUUCCCAACCCUCUAGGGAAUACACAAGUAACAAAGGGAGAAAUUACAAUGGUGAGAAUUUCAGUAAGGAAUCUAGCCCAUGUCAUCAUGUUUACAGACAGCCCUGGAUUCAACUUGGGACUGGGGCUUAGGGAAUCUGGCACCUUUAUUAACUGGGUAACCUGGGAUGAGUCUAACCUUCAUGAUUUAUCUUCUCAUCUGUCAAAUUGGGCUAAAGAUCUCAGUCUACCCCAGGAGUCUACUGUCAGAGUCAAAUAAAACGAAAGAAUGUGCAUAAAAACAUCAAAA